AAUCUCACAUGCAGUAAGUCUGCAAUUCAUGCACUUAGUUUCAAUGAAGACAGCUUCAUCCCGGAUGUUUCUCAAGUUCAAGCAGUUAUAAAAUUUGGUCAGUGCAGUCUCUCCAUCUUCUCUGAAACAAUCUCCUGCUCUACAGGUACAACAACAUCAGGAGCCUGGGGGAAAAAAAACACCCAAGACACAACCAAAGCUGCAAUGCAUUCAAAACAGAAUGAAAGCAUGGUAUGCCUUCCAAUGUGGCUGAGAUGUAUUAUUUGAAGGUGAUGAAAGAUGAACUUGUUUUAAUCUAAGUAUUUUUGGGAGGAAGAGUCUUUUG
rnacentral:lncRNA from 1 species